rnacentral:rRNA from 1 species
CGCCCAGACUCCUCGGGAGGCAGCAGUGGGGGAUAUUGCACAAUGGGGGAAACCCUGAUGCAGCGACGCCGCGUGGGUGAAGAAGCGCCUCGGCGCGUAAAGCCCUGUCAGCAGGGAGGAAAAUGACGGUACCUGAAGAAGAAGCCCCGGCUAACUACGUGCCAGCAGCCGCGGUAAUACGUAGGGGGCAAGCGUUAUCCGGAUUUACUGGGUGUAAAGGGGGCGCAGACGGCAAUGCAAGUCAGGAGUGAAAGCCCGGGGCCCAACCCCGGGACUGCUCUUGGAACUGCAUGGCUGGAGUACAGGAGGGGCAGGCGGAAUUCCUAGUGUAGCGGUGAAAUGCGUAGAUAUUAGGAGGAACACCGGUGGCGAAGGCGGCCUGCUGGACUGUGACUGACGUUGGGGCCCGAAGGCGUGGGGAGCAAACAGGAUUAGAUACCCUAGUA